AGAGUUUGAUCCUGGCUCAGGAUGAACGCUGGCGGCGUGCCUAAUACAUGCAAGUCGAACGCUUCACUUCGGUGAAGAGUGGCGAACGGGUGAGUAAUACAUAAGUAACCUGGCAUCUACAGGGGGAUAACUGAUGGAAACGUCAGCUAAGACCGCAUAGGUGUAGAGAUCGCAUGAACUCUAUAUGAAAAGUGCUACGGGACUGGUAGAUGAUGGACUUAUGGCGCAUUAGCUUGUUGGUAGGGUAACGGCCUACUAAGGCGACGAUGCGUAGCCGACCUGAGAGGGUGACCGGCCACACUGGGACUGAGACACGGCCCAGACUCCUACGGGAGGCAGCAGUAGGGAAUUUUCGGCAAUGGGGGAAACCCUGACCGAGCAACGCCGCGUGAAGGAAGAAGUAAUUCGUUAUGUAAACUUCUGUCAUAGAGGAAGAACGGUGGAUAUAGGGAAUGAUAUCCAAGUGACGGUACUCUAUAAGAAAGCCACGGCUAACUACGUGCCAGCAGCCGCGGUAAUACGUAGGUGGCGAGCGUUAUCCGGAAUUAUUGGGCGUAAAGAGGGAGCAGGCGGCACUAAGGGUCUGUGGUGAAAGAUCGAAGCUUAACUUCGGUAAGCCAUGGAAACCGUAGAGCUAGAGUGUGUGAGAGGAUCGUGGAAUUCCAUGUGUAGCGGUGAAAUGCGUAGAUAUAUGGAGGAACACCAGUGGCGAAGGCGACGAUCUGGCGCAUAACUGACGCUCAGUCCCGAAAGCGUGGGGAGCAAAUAGGAUUAGAUACCCUAGUAGUCCACGCCGUAAACGAUGAGUACUAAGUGUUGGGUGUCAAAGCUCAGUGCUGCAGUUAACGCAAUAAGUACUCCGCCUGAGUAGUACGUUCGCAAGAAUGAAACUCAAAGGAAUUGACUG
rnacentral:rRNA from 1 species